UCUACAGCAUACAAGAUACAAUUCAGCUGAAUUUGCAGUUGAAGAAUAGGAAAGAUCUAACUUUUACAUCCAAGAUAUAUCCAAGGAAAUCUCAAUUUGGAUGAACUUUUGCUUGAACAGAAAGGCAUCAAAUGCCAUGCAAAUAAUCUCACAGAUAUGCAAACAAUUGAAAUUUGUUGGAGCAUCUCACUUACCAGCUUUGCAGCACAGCAAAUCUAAAGAAAAAUCUAUUGUAGAUUGUUUGGCUGGAGUUACUGAAGGAACUGAAAAGUUUAGAGGAAGCUCAUGAGCACAAGGUGGUAGAAGCUGAAGCUGAAGAAAUUUAAAAAAAAAAA